AGCAUGAGUUAUGUCAUGUUAUCGAUAUGUGAAUACAUAGCAUAUCAGAAGGCACACCCGGAGAACUGAAACAUCUUAGUACCCGGAGGAAGAGAAAGAAAAUUCGAUUCCCUUAGUAGCGGCGAGCGAAACGGGAAGAGCCCAAACCAACAAGCUUGCUUGUUGGGGUUGUAGGACACUCUAUACGGAGUUACAAAGGACGACAUUAGACGAAUCAUCUGGAAAGAUGAAUCAAAGAAGGUAAUAAUCCUGUAGUCGAAAAUGUUGUCUCUCUUGAGUGGAUCCUGAGUACGACGGAGCACGUGAAAUUCCGUCGGAAUCUGGGAGGACCAUCUCCUAAGGCUAAAUACUCUCUAGUGACCGAUAGUGAACCAGUACCGUGAGGGAAAGGUGAAAAGCACCCCGGAAGG
rnacentral:rRNA from 1 species